GAUGAACGCUGGCGGCGUGCCUAAUACAUGCAAGUCGAGCGAACAGAUAAGGAGCUUGCUCCUUUGACGUUAGCGGCGGACGGGUGAGUAACACGUGGGUAACCUACCUAUAAGACUGGGAUAACUUCGGGAAACCGGAGCUAAUACCGGAUAACAUUUGGAACCGCAUGGUUCUAAAGUGAAAGAUGGUUUUGCUAUCACUUAUAGAUGGACCCGCGCCGUAUUAGCUAGUUGGUAAGGUAACGGCUUACCAAGGCGACGAUACGUAGCCGACCUGAGAGGGUGAUCGGCCACACUGGAACUGAGACACGGUCCAGACUCCUACGGGAGGCAGCAGUAGGGAAUCUUCCGCAAUGGGCGAAAGCCUGACGGAGCAACGCCGCGUGAGUGAUGAAGGGUUUCGGCUCGUAAAACUCUGUUAUUAGGGAAGAACAAAUGUGUAAGUAACUGUGCACGUCUCGACGGUACCUAAUCAGAAAGCCACGGCUAACUACGUG
rnacentral:rRNA from 1 species